rnacentral:rRNA from 2 species
UCCGUAGGUGAACCUGCGGAAGGAUCAUUACUGAAGACAUAGAGUUUUGAGACUGCGUUCCAAACGAUCGCGUGCUCGACUCUUAAUCUUUAUCCACACACACCUCUGUGCACCAUGGGACGAAACUGUAACGGGAGUAGUCCCCUUUUUAUAAACACGAGUUAUUAUAUGCAUGUUAUUUUAAUGCUCUACGGAGUAAUAAUAAUGUACAACUUUCAACAACGGAUCUCUUGGCUUUCGCAUCGAUGAAGAACGCAGCGAACGUGCGAAACGUAAUGUGAAUUGCAGAAUUCAGUGAAUCAUCGAAUCUUUGAACGCAUCUUGCGCUCCUUGGUAUUCCGAGGAGCAUGCCUGUUUGAGUGUCGUGAAUACUCUCAACUUCAACCCUUUUUUCGGAAAGGGAGGAAGGUUGGACUUGGGUGUUUGUUGAAGUGCGAGCUUCGACUCAUCCUAAAUGCAUUAGCGAUCUGCCUCGAUCACACACAAUGCGAUAAUUAAAACUAAAGCAUUGUUUAAUGAUCAAGUCGAGACUGCUUCUAACUGUCGCAAGACAAUAACAUGCAUACAUUUGUGCAUGUCAUUUGACCUCAAAUCAGGUAGGACUACCCGCUGAACUUAAGCAUAUCAAUAAGCGGAGGAA